rnacentral:rRNA from 1 species
GACGAACGCUGGCGGCGUGCUUAACACAUGCAAGUCGAACGGUGAAGCGCCUUCCUUUUUGGUGGGUGUGGAUGAGUGGCGAACGGGUGAGUAACACGUGAGUAACCUGCCCCCUUCUUCUGGAUAACCGCAUGAAAGUGUGGCUAAUACGGGAUAUUCUGGGUCUGUCGCAUGAUGGGUCUGGGAAAGAUAUUGUUUCGGUGGGGGAUGGGCUCGCGGCCUAUCAGCUUGUUGGUGGGGUGAUGGCCUACCAAGGCGGUGACGGGUAGCCGGCCUGAGAGGGUGGACGGUCACACUGGGACUGAGACACGGCCCAGACUCCUACGGGAGGCAGCAGUGGGGAAGAUUGCACAAUGGGCGCAAGCCUGAUGCAGCGACGCCGCGUGAGGGAUGGAGGCCUGCGGGUUGUGAACCUCUUUCGCCAGUGAAGCAGGCCUGCCUCGUUUGUGGGUGGGUUGACGGUAGCUGGAUAAGAAGCGCCGGCUAACUACGUG